rnacentral:lncRNA from 1 species
GAGCACGAGGUCGCGGGAUCGAAUCCCGGCCACGGCGGCCGCAUUUCGAUGGGGGCGAAAUGCGAAAACACCCGUGUGCUUAGAUUUAGGUGCACGUUAAAGAAGCCCAGGUGGUCAAAAUUUCCGGAGUCCUCCACUACGGCGUGCCUCAUAAUCAGAAAGUGGUUUUGGCACGUAAAACCCCAAAUAUUAUUAUUAUUAUUAUUG